rnacentral:rRNA from 1 species
GUGGGGAAUCUUGCGCAAUGGGCGAAAGCCUGACGCAGCCAUGCCGCGUGAAUGAUGAAGGUCUUAGGAUUGUAAAAUUCUUUCACCGGGGACGAUAAUGACUGUAGCCGGAGAAGAAGCCCCGGCUAACUUCGUGCCAGCAGCCGCGGUAAUACGAAGGGGGCUAGCGUUGCUCGGAUUUACUGGGCGUAAAGGGCGCGUAGGCGGACAUUUAAGUCAGGGGUGAAAUCCCGGGGCUCAACCUCGGAACUGCCUUUGAUACUGGGUGUCUUGAGUAUGAGGGAGGUGUGUGGAACUCCGAGUGUAGAGGUGAAAUUCGUAGAUAUUCGGAAGAACACCAGUGGCGAAGGCGACACACUGGCUCAUUACUGACGCUGAGGCGCGAAAGCGUGGGGAGCAAACAGGAUUAGAUACCCGGGUAGUCC